rnacentral:rRNA from 1 species
GACGAACGCUGGCGGCGUGCUUAACACAUGCAAGUCGAGCGGUAAGGCCCUUUCGGGGGUACACGAGCGGCGAACGGGUGAGUAACACGUGGGUGACCUGCCCUCCAGCUCUGGGAUAAGCCUGGGGAAACUGGGUCUAAUACUGGAUAUGACUCCACGGUGCAUGUCGGUGGGGUGGAAAGCCUUGUGCGGCUGAGGAUGGGCCCGCGGCCUAUCAGCUUGUUGGUGGGGUGA